rnacentral:tRNA from 1 species
GCACUGGUGGUUCAGUGUUAGAGUAUUUGCCUUCCAUGUGGGAGACCCAGGUUCAAUUCCCGGCCAAUGCA